GACUUAAGCAUAUCAAUAAGCGGAGGAAAAGAAACCAACAGGGAUUGCCUCAGUAACGGCGAGUGAAGCGGCAACAGCUCAAAUUUGAAAUCUGACUUCGGUCCGAGUUGUAAUUUGUAGAGGAAGUCUCGGGUGCGAUACUGGUCUAAGUUCCUUGGAACAGGACGUCAUAGAGGGUGAGAAUCCCGUAUGCGACUGGUGGUCAACCCCAUGUGAGGCCCCUUCGACGAGUCGAGUUGUUUGGGAAUGCAGCUCAAAAUGGGUGGUAAAUUUCAUCUAAAGCUAAAUACCGGCCAGAGACCGAUAGCGCACAAGUAGAGUGAUCGAAAGAUGAAAAGCACUUUGGAAAGAGAGUUAAAAAGUACGUGAAAUUGUUGAAAGGGAAGCGCUUGCAACCAGACUUGCUCGCGGGUGAUCCACCGUCCCUCGGGGCGGUCUACUCUCCCGUGAUCAGGCCAACAUCGGUUUCGGUGGCUGGAUACAGGCUCCGGGAAUGUGGCUCCCUCCGGGGAGUGUUAUAGCCCGGGGUGCAAUGCAGCCCGCCGGGACCGAGGACCGCGCUUCGGCUUAGGAUGUUGGCGUAAU
rnacentral:rRNA from 1 species